rnacentral:rRNA from 1 species
ACAGAUCUUGGUGGUAGUAGCAAAUAAUCGAAUGAGACCUUGGAGGACUGAAGUGGAGAAGGGUUUCGUGUGAACAGUGGUUGAUCACGAGUUAGUCGGUCCUAAGUUCAAGGCGAAAGCCGAAAAAUAUUAAGUAUAUUAAUUUAAUUUAUAAUAAUAUGAAAAUGAAAUACUUAAAAAUAUUGAACGAAAGGGAAUACGGUUCCAAUUCCGUAACCUGUUGAGUAUACGUUUGUUAUUAAAAAUGGGCUUUUAUGCUCAUCCUGGUAACAGAAACAACCAUAAAGAAACCGUCGAGAGAUAUCGAAAGAGUUUUCUUUUCUGUUUUAUAGUCGUACCACCAUGGAAGUCUUUCGAAGAGAGAUAUGGUGGAUGGACUAGAAGAGCAUGGCAUUUACUGCUGUGUCGAAAAUUUCUCCUCGGGCCUUGAAAAUUUAUGGUGGGGUUACGCAAACUUCUUAACAGGCCGUACCGAUAUCCGCAGCUGGUCUCCAAGGUGAAGAGUCUCUAGUCGAUAGAAUAAUGUAGGUAAGGGAAGUCGGCAAAUUAGAUCCGUAACUUCGGGAUAAGGAUUGGCUCUGAAGAUUGAGAUAGUCGGGCUUGAUUGGGAAGCAAUAAAAAUAGUUUAUAUACUCGUUCUGGGUAAAUUUUAAGAUUACUAUGAUUCGUAAUGGAUUAUAUUGUCUGUUCCCCGGAUAGAAGUUAUGUAAACAAAUUGCGGAACUUUCUUGCUAAAAAUAUAUUUAUCUUGUAUUUAUAUAUUUAUAACGAUUAUCAAUUAACAAUCAAUUCAGAACUGGCACGGACUUGGGGAAUCCGACUGUCUAAUUAAAACAAAGCAUUGUGAUGGCCCUAACGGGUGUUGACACAAUGUGAUUUCUGCCCAGUGCUCUGAAUGUCAAAGUGAAGAAAUUCAAGUAAGCGCGGGUAAACGGCGGGAGUAACUAUGACUCUCUUAAGGUAGCCAAAUGCCUCGUCAUCUAAUUAGUGACGCGCAUGAAUGAAUUAACGAGA